AAAGUCUCCUCCGACGAGUGCUUCGCCUUCACAUCAAAAUUUUCACUCAAAUAACUUUCCAUUUCCCUCAAUAACAAUGAAUUUGUUUUACUUCUACGACGUAUAAUAUAACCCCUUAAAGUGAUCCAGGUGACAAGGUAGAAAUUUCCUUGUUAUAUAUUAAAGAAAAGAGAGCUUCACUUCGACGAAGUUUCUAUCGUCAUUUCUUGGAAAACAAGUU
rnacentral:misc_RNA from 1 species